AUAGUUAUGAAACCCCAUUUAAUAACAAAAUGCAUACACACAUCUGGGUUUGCAAAAAUCACAAAAGGCAAACUCUUAAACACUGCAAAUUGAUGUUCCCCGUGGAGCUUUGUCUCGGGAUUAGUUUUGCAUGUUUUGUUUACCAGAUGUCUGGAAUGCCGUCUUCCUCCUUAUGCACCAUAAUCAAUCUCAGACAUCAAAAAAGAUAAAAUCAUGUUGACAUUGUGUAAUCCAGUUAGCCUGUUUUUUUCACGAUCCGUCCAGCAAUGAUGCUCGCUUUAUUUUCCUCUCAAGUAGAAACUGAGGCUGCCGAAAAUAAAUGAAUGCUGGGAAUCGACACGUCGUGCACCUGUAUGUCAGAGGCCUGUUAGUUCUUCCGUUACAGCAACAACACGAAGCCCCUCAACGUCCAGCGGCUCUCGGUGGGCAUUUGACCCGCUACUAUGAGUCUAACAGUAGGAAUGAAGGGGCCAGAAAACGCUCUGUUUGUUUUUCCACAUUCUACUUCGAUCUGAAGCUGAGAAUUCGCGUCAGUUUGAUCUACACAUGAGCUCUCGCUACGAGCGCCGAGAAACAACAGGACGCGGCGAGGCUCAUUCAGCGCGUGUUUGACUUUCCCCUCAGAAAACCGCGCGCUUCAAAGAAACGCCGUACGACGAACGAGACUCAAAACACCUCACCUUACAUCAUUGAAAUAACAAACUGACUUUUAUUGAGCCCGAAAACUAAUAUUAUUCCCUCAGCACAAACUGGUGACUGUAUUAUUGCGAUUUUCAACCGAGAGAAGAGAUGGACAUACCAGAAGUUCUGCUGAAGGAGACACCGCAGGCAAACACGCUUUGUUUAUGCACCUGUCAAUUGACUCAUAUUCAGGAACGAUGCAUUCCAGAGAAGGAAAAGGAGCGAUUCCUCCGGCAGGACUUAUGAUUGUAUUCCUGGAAAAGAGCCUGGCACACAGGUUGUGUUUACAGAGUUCAUUCUUCAUGACUGGAAUUGAGGUGAACGGGUUGACUUUGGAUUGGGAUUUGAAGUUAUUGAAUCCCACGGAAGUCUGGAUUGAAAUAAUGACAAACAGUUGCGGUUCCAGUUCGCAUUUUAUGUUUUGGAUUAGUGGAUAAAUUACAUGACAUAAUUUUUUUGUCCGGAUCUAUUAAAUGUUUGUCUACAUAAAGAAACAGUUCACCCAAA
rnacentral:lncRNA from 1 species